CAGCCGCCGCGGUAACACCGAGGGUGCGAGCUUUAAUCGGAUUUACUGGGCGUAAAGCGUGCGUAGGCGGCUUUUUAAGUCGGAUGUGAAAUCCCUGAGCUUAACUUAGGAAUUGCAUUCGAUACUGGGAAGCUAGAGUAUGGGAGAGGAUGGUAGAAUUCCAGGUGUAGCGGUGAAAUGCGUAGAGAUCUGGAGGAAUACCGAUGGCGAAGGCAGCCAUCUGGCCUAAUACUGACGCUGAGGUACGAAAGCAUGGGGAGCAAACAGGAUUAGAUACCCCUGUAGUCCCUGUCUCUUAUAC
rnacentral:rRNA from 1 species